rnacentral:rRNA from 1 species
GGGUUGUGAGGUUAAGCGACUAAGCGUACACGGUGGAUGCCCUGGCAGUCAGAGGCGAUGAAGGACGUGCUAAUCUGCGAUAAGCGUCGGUAAGGUGAUAUGAACCGUUAUAACCGGCGAUUUCCGAAUGGGGAAACCCAGUGUGUUUCGACACACUAUCAUUAACUGAAUCCAUAGGUUAAUGAGGCGAACCGGGGGAACUGAAACAUCUAAGUACCCCGAGGAAAAGAAAUCAACCGAGAUUCCCCCAGUAGCGGCGAGCGAACGGGGAGCAGCCCAGAGCCUGAAUCAGUGUGUGUGUUAGUGGAAGCGUCUGGAAAGGCGCGCGAUACAGGGUGACAGCCCCGUACACAAAAAUGCACAUGCUGUGAGCUCGAUGAGUAGGGCGGGACACGUGGUAUCCUGUCUGAAUAUGGGGGGACCAUCCUCCAAGGCUAAAUACUCCUGACUGACCGAUAGUGAACCAGUACCGUGAGGGAAAGGCGAAAAGAACCCCGGCGAGGGGAGUGAAAAAGAACCUGAAACCGUGUACGUACAAGCAGUGGGAGCACGCUUAGGCGUGUGACUGCGUACCUUUUGUAUAAUGGGUCAGCGACUUAUAUUCUGUAGCAAGGUUAACCGAAUAGGGGAGCCGAAGGGAAACCGAGUCUUAACUGGGCGUUAAGUUGCAGGGUAUAGACCCGAAACCCGGUGAUCUAGCCAUGGGCAGGUUGAAGGUUGGGUAACACUAACUGGAGGACCGAACCGACUAAUGUUGAAAAAUUAGCGGAUGACUUGUGGCUGGGGGUGAAAGGCCAAUCAAACCGGGAGAUAGCUGGUUCUCCCCGAAAGCUAUUUAGGUAGCGCCUCGUGAAUUCAUCUCCGGGGGUAGAGCACUGUUUCGGCAAGGGGGUCAUCCCGACUUACCAACCCGAUGCAAACUGCGAAUACCGGAGAAUGUUAUCACGGGAGACACACGGCGGGUGCUAACGUCCGUCGUGAAGAGGGAAACAACCCAGACCGCCAGCUAAGGUCCCAAAGUCAUGGUUAAGUGGGAAACGAUGUGGGAAGGCCCAGACAGCCAGGAUGUUGGCUUAGAAGCAGCCAUCAUUUAAAGAAAGCGUAAUAGCUCACUGGUCGAGUCGGCCUGCGCGGAAGAUGUAACGGGGCUAAACCAUGCACCGAAGCUGCGGCAGCGACACUAUGUGUUGUUGGGUAGGGGAGCGUUCUGUAAGCCUGUGAAGGUGUGCUGUGAGGCAUGCUGGAGGUAUCAGAAGUGCGAAUGCUGACAUAAGUAACGAUAAAGCGGGUGAAAAGCCCGCUCGCCGGAAGACCAAGGGUUCCUGUCCAACGUUAAUCGGGGCAGGGUGAGUCGACCCCUAAGGCGAGGCCGAAAGGCGUAGUCGAUGGGAAACAGGUUAAUAUUCCUGUACUUGGUGUUACUGCGAAGGGGGGACGGAGAAGGCUAUGUUGGCCGGGCGACGGUUGUCCCGGUUUAAGCGUGUAGGCUGGUUUUCCAGGCAAAUCCGGAAAAUCAAGGCUGAGGCGUGAUGACGAGGCACUACGGUGCUGAAGCAACAAAUGCCCUGCUUCCAGGAAAAGCCUCUAAGCAUCAGGUAACAUCAAAUCGUACCCCAAACCGACACAGGUGGUCAGGUAGAGAAUACCAAGGCGCUUGAGAGAACUCGGGUGAAGGAACUAGGCAAAAUGGUGCCGUAACUUCGGGAGAAGGCACGCUGAUAUGUAGGUGAAGUCCCUUGCGGAUGGAGCUGAAAUCAGUCGAAGAUACCAGCUGGCUGCAACUGUUUAUUAAAAACACAGCACUGUGCAAACACGAAAGUGGACGUAUACGGUGUGACGCCUGCCCGGUGCCGGAAGGUUAAUUGAUGGGGUUAGCGCAAGCGAAGCUCUUGAUCGAAGCCCCGGUAAACGGCGGCCGUAACUAUAACGGUCCUAAGGUAGCGAAAUUCCUUGUCGGGUAAGUUCCGACCUGCACGAAUGGCGUAAUGAUGGCCAGGCUGUCUCCACCCGAGACUCAGUGAAAUUGAACUCGCUGUGAAGAUGCAGUGUACCCGCGGCAAGACGGAAAGACCCCGUGAACCUUUACUAUAGCUUGACACUGAACAUUGAGCCUUGAUGUGUAGGAUAGGUGGGAGGCUUUGAAGUGUGGACGCCAGUCUGCAUGGAGCCGACCUUGAAAUACCACCCUUUAAUGUUUGAUGUUCUAACGUUGACCCGUAAUCCGGGUUGCGGACAGUGUCUGGUGGGUAGUUUGACUGGGGCGGUCUCCUCCUAAAGAGUAACGGAGGAGCACGAAGGUUGGCUAAUCCUGGUCGGACAUCAGGAGGUUAGUGCAAUGGCAUAAGCCAGCUUGACUGCGAGCGUGACGGCGCGAGCAGGUGCGAAAGCAGGUCAUAGUGAUCCGGUGGUUCUGAAUGGAAGGGCCAUCGCUCAACGGAUAAAAGGUACUCCGGGGAUAACAGGCUGAUACCGCCCAAGAGUUCAUAUCGACGGCGGUGUUUGGCACCUCGAUGUCGGCUCAUCACAUCCUGGGGCUGAAGUAGGUCCCAAGGGUAUGGCUGUUCGCCAUUUAAAGUGGUACGCGAGCUGGGUUUAGAACGUCGUGAGACAGUUCGGUCCCUAUCUGCCGUGGGCGCUGGAGAACUGAGGGGGGCUGCUCCUAGUACGAGAGGACCGGAGUGGACGCAUCACUGGUGUUCGGGUUGUCAUGCCAAUGGCACUGCCCGGUAGCUAAAUGCGGAAGAGAUAAGUGCUGAAAGCAUCUAAGCACGAAACUUGCCCCGAGAUGAGUUCUCCCUGACUCCUUGAGAGUCCUGAAGGAACGUUGAAGACGACGACGUUGAUAGGCCGGGUGUGUAAGCGCAGCGAUGCGUUGAGCUAACCGGUACUAAUGAACCGUGAGGCUUAACCUUACAACGCCGAAGCUGUU